AUACGGAGGGUGCAAGCGUUGUUCGGAUUCACUGGGUAUAAAGGGUGCGCAGGCGGUCUGAUAAGUCAGAGGUGAAAUAUGUCGGCUCAACCGGCAAACGGCCCCUGAAACUGUCAGACUUGAGUCCGGGAGAGGUAGGUGGAAUUCCAGGUGUAGCGGUGAAAUGCGUAAAUAUCUGGAGGAACACCGGUGGCGAAGGCGGCCUACUGGCCCGGAACUGACGCUCAGGCACGAAAGCAUGGGGAGCGAACGGGAUUAGAAACCCGGGUAGUCC
rnacentral:rRNA from 1 species